rnacentral:lncRNA from 1 species
CAUGGAGUUGCCAUUCUUCCCCCUUUCAGUCAUAAGCACCGCAUUGUCAAAUUGAGUAUUUUGUCCCUAAUCUUCUUCCUUUUGAGAUCAAGUUGCUUGUCACUUCUGCGAAACUCGGAGAUUCCUUCCCAUACAUCACAAUUGGCUUGAUAUAUUCAUAGGUAGAUGGAAGAGACCAAAUGAGCCUAGCGCCUUAUCCUCAUCAUUUAUCUUCACUCCAAUAGAUUCCAGUUCUGAAACAAUCCCGUUGAGAAUACUCAAAUGGUCUGAGAUUUUCGUACUUGCCUCCAUGCACAAUGAAUGGAAUUUCUCCUUCAGGUACAAUCGAUUUGAAAGGCUCUUUGUGUGAUAUAGUUCUUCUAACUUCUCUCAUGGUUCCUUUGUAGCAGAUAUUUCAUGAAUAUUUGUAAAAACGUUUUUAGCCAGACAAAGAGGUAUCAUGCUUGUAGCUUUCAAAUCCAAUUCCCAUUGCUUAUAUUGGAUUCAGUUUCUUUAUCGAAACUUUUGGUUGGUUUUCCCUUCAAAGCCUUGUGCAAACCAACUUGAAUCAAUAAAUCAUUAACUUUUACUUGCCACAAGCCAAAAUUAAUUCUCCCGUCAAAUUUAUUCACGUCAUAUUUCAACGACGACAUAUUUUUCUGCUGCUCCAAUACUUCGAACCACUUGACGCCUAAUACCACUUGUUGGAAAUUUUACGUCAAUUCUGUUUAUUUCCAUUUACCCACACGAUCUUUUGUUAUUCAAGAGAGUAUUAGCAAACAAGGAAAAAUAAAGAAUAUAAUGCAAAAAUUAAACGGACCGUCAAAACUUUUCACUAAAUGUAAAAUUGUUACAAUCAUAUAGAAUUUCACUCACCAACCCAAUCCCUUAAUAUUACAAAGAAAAAAAAAACCUCAAGCUUUACAACACUCACUUUUCUACCCGAUGUAUGAAAAAUCUCAAGUUGUUAGGCUCACAAUAUUUUCCUCUCAG